rnacentral:tRNA from 1 species
GCGCGGUUAGCUCAGGGAGGGAGAGCGCCCGUUGAAAUACACGGGAGGUCGGGGGUUCAAGUCCUUCACCGCGCACCA